rnacentral:tRNA from 1 species
GGCGCGGUGGCGGAGUGGCUACGCAGCGGAUUGCAAAUCCGUCUAGACCGGUUCGAUUCCGGUCCGCGCCUCCA